rnacentral:piRNA from 1 species
UGAAUGUCACAGAUGUGUCUGUGUUGGCAUU